rnacentral:tRNA from 1 species
CAGUGACUAGUUUAACUAAAACAGCCGACUUCGACUCGACUAAACCCAAUAAAGAUAUGGGGUCACUUA